CUUACCACUGUUGCCUCGGUGGAAGGCAUCCGAAAGGGUGCUGGAAGCCGGUGGACAUCUAAACUCUUGUUAAUUUUUGUUAUUCUGAAUCAUAACUAAGAAAUAAGUUAAAACUUUCAACAACGGAUCUCUUGGUUCUGGCAUCGAUGAAGAACGCAGCGAAAUGCGAUAAGUAAUGUGAAUUGCAGAAUUCAGUGAAUCAUCGAAUCUUUGAACGCACAUUGCGCCCAUUAGUAUUCUAGUGGGCAUGCCUGUUCGAGCGUCAUUUCAACCCUUAAGCCUAGCUUAGUGUUGGGAGACUGCCUAAUACGCAGCUCCUCAAAACCAGUGGCAGAGUUUUUACGUACUCUGAGCGCAGUAAUUCUAUUCUCGCUUCUGAAAACGUCUAGACGAUAGCCAAAAACCGCUUGCUUCGGCAGCACUUUUUAAUGGUUGACCUCGGAUCAGGUAGGAAUACCCG
rnacentral:rRNA from 1 species